GGGGUUGUCUAUCGCGAUCAUCCUACCCGUCCGAUCACGUCUGAAGAGGGAAUGCAUUUAGGUCGUUCAUGCGCGCGAGAUGCUAUCUGGGCCGUCGGAUGUCAGCGUGUCCGCCAUGCGGCACACUCGUCGUGGCUGCUGACUGGGUCGUCCCACAUAAUCGAACUUUCUCUUUUUACGAUUUUGCCUCAUAUUUUCAAAUUUCUUUUCAAAAAUACCCCC
rnacentral:lncRNA from 1 species